rnacentral:rRNA from 1 species
UACAGAGGUGGCAAGCGUUGUUCGGAAUUACUGGGCGUAAAGGGCGCGUAGGCGGCUUGGUCAGUCCCGUGUGAAAUCCCUCGGCUCAACUGAGGAACUGCACGGGAAACUGCCUGGCUUGAGUUCGGGAGAGGGAAGCGGAAUUCCGGGUGUAGCGGUGGAAUGCGUAGAGAUCCGGAAGAACACCUGGGGCGAAGGCAGCUCGCUGGGCAUGAUCCGACGCUGAGGCGCGAAAGCGUGGGGAGCGAACAGG